rnacentral:rRNA from 1 species
CUACGGGGUGCUGCAGUGAGGAAUAUUGCACAAUGGGGGAAACCCUGAUGCAGCAACGCCGCGUGGAGGAUGACGCAUUUCGGUGUGUAAACUCCUUUUAUGAGUCAAGAAAAUGACGGUAGCUCAUGAAUAAGCACCGGCUAACUCCGUGCCAGCAGCCGCGGUAAUACGGAGGGUGCAAGCGUUACUCGGAAUCACUGGGCGUAAAGGACGCGUAGGCGGGUUGGAAAGUCAGGUGUGAAAUCCUACAGCUUAACUGUAGAACUGCACUUGAAACUUCUAACCUAGAGUAUGGGAGGGGGAGAUGGAAUUAGUGGUGUAGGGGUAAAAUCCGUAGAUAUCACUAGGAAUACCGAAAGCGAAGGCGAUCUCCUGGAACAUUACUGACGCUAAGGCGUGAAAGCGUGGGGAGCAAACGGGAUUAGAUACCCCCGUAGUC